UCGCAAUAGGACCUUCCUCAUGUGUCCUAUAUGUAAGAAGACUCAUUGGAGCCUUCGAGUUCAUCUCAGAAGAGCCUGCACGAAGAACUCUUCAGAAGCUGACAUUCUGGCUGUGGUGCGAUCUUCCAAGAGAGCUACGAGCGAUUUGCUGCGUACUGGCCGUGUCUGGGAGUAGUCUCUCCUCAGAAGCAUCGUGCAGAGCCCUGACCCUGUUGGCAGGAUGAUCGAGGAGCUGCAGAGCAGAGGGAAUGCUGUGGUUUGCAUCCCAACUAAAGGCCCGGCUCCUGUUGUUCGGGCUGUAGCCCAACUGCCAGUUGAGGCUCUGACUGAGACCAGCUCCAGCUCAGAAAGCUCUGAGGAACUUUACAAACACCCUGAUACCACCAAGCAGUGAAGUUCCUUUUGGGAAGGAAUGUUAAGUUUGGGCUACUACGAGAAGCACAAUCUUUACUAUCCUCUCUUCAUGAACAUCACCAAGUAUCUGCAGUUUGGUGAAUGAAAACUAUCACAGCUCCAAUGUCAUCAUCAAAGUUGCUGACGACACAGCGAUUGUAGGCCUGAUCUCAUACAACGAAUCUACCUACAGAGAGGAGGUUAAUAUUCUGAAAAAAUGGUGCCAAGAGAACAACCUCUUGGACGUCAGGAAAUAGGAGAGAGCACACUCGUCGAUCUCCAUCAACGGGACGGCGGUGGAGAGGGUCAAAAGCUUCAAGUUCCUAGGUGUUCACAUCAGCGAGGAUCUGACGUGUACACAACACACGGGGGGUAAAAAACACAACGCCGCCUCUACUUCCUCAGACGGGUGAGAAGGUUUGGUCUGAACCCUAGCAGCCUCAAGACUUUCUACGCCUGCACUGUGGAAAGCAUCCUGACGGGCAUCACCACCACUUGGUAUGGGAACUGUACUGCUCUGGAGUGGAAAUCUCUGCAGAGGGUAGUGCGUACAGCACAGUACAUCACCAGGGUUCAGCUCCCUAACCUUCUGGAUUUAUACACCAAUAAUGUACAAUGCCUCCCACCCAAGAUGUUCUCACAGAGUGGAAAGAGGCUCUGAAGCUUAAAGACCCGAACCAGCCGGUUCCGAGACAGCUUCUUCCCCCAGGUGACCAGGCAUAUUUCUGUGCAAUUCCAUUUGUCUCUAUGUCUAUAGUGUAUGUGGUGUAUUGUUGUGUGUAUUGUUUAUACUGUAGAGUUAUCUGUAUAUUCUUUUUUUUUAUUUUUUUAAUCUACUUGUUGUAAAUAUUCUCUGCACAAUUGUGGGAAGUUUUUCAUUAACAUGUACACCUGUACUCUGUGAUGUGACAAAUAAAAAA